rnacentral:rRNA from 1 species
GACGAACGCUGGCGGCGUGCUUAACACAUGCAAGUCGAACGAUGAACCCGGAGCUUGCUCCGGCGGAUUAGUGGCGAACGGGUGAGUAACACGUGAGUAACCUGCCCUUGACUCUGGGAUAACUGCUAGAAAUGGUAGCUAAUACCGGAUACGACCCUCGGUGGCAUCACCAGGGGGUGGAAAGAAUUUCGGUCAAGGAUGGACUCGCGGCCUAUCAGCUAGUUGGUGAGGUAACGGCUCACCAAGGCGACGACGGGUAGCCGGCCUGAGAGGGUGACCGGCCACACUGGGACUGAGACACGGCCCAGACUCCUACGGGAGGCAGCAGUGGGGAAUAUUGCACAAUGGGCGCAAGCCUGAUGCAGCAACGCCGCGUGAGGGAUGACGGCCUUCGGGUUGUAAACCUCUUUUGUCAGGGAAGAAACACCGGCUCUAACACAGUCUGGGAAUGACGGUACCUGAAGAAUAAGCACCGGCUAAC